UAGGGAAUAUUGGACAAUGGGGGCAACCCUGAUCCAGCCAUGCCGCGUGAGUGAAGAAGGCCCUCGGGUUGUAAAGCUCUUCUGUCCGGAAAGAAAAGCAUUCGGUGAAUACCCGGAUGUUCUGACGGUACCGGAAGAAUAAGCACCGGCUAACUUCGUGCCAGCAGCCGCGGUAAUACGAAGGGUGCAAGCGUUACUCGGAAUUACUGGGCGUAAAGCGUGCGUAGGUGGUUGUCUAAGUCUGAUGUGAAAGCCCUGGGCUCAACCUGGGAAUGGCAUUGGAAACUGGGCAGCUAGAGUGCGGUAGAGGGUAGUGGAAUUCCCGGUGUAGCAGUGAAAUGCGUAGAGAUCGGGAGGAACAUCUGUGGCGAAGGCGACUGCCUGGACCAGCACUGACACUGAGGCACGAAAGCGUGGGGAGCAAACA
rnacentral:rRNA from 1 species